AGCGAACGCUGGCGGCAGGCCUAACACAUGCAAGUCGAACGGUGAACGAGGGAGCUUGCUCCCUCCGGAUCAGUGGCGAACGGGUGAGUAACACGUGAGCAAUCUGCCCUGGACUCUGGGAUAAGCGUUGGAAACGACGUCUGAUACCGGAUACGAGACGCGAAGGCAUCUUCAGCGUCUGGAAAGAACUUCGGUCCAGGAUGAGCUCGCGGCCCAUCAGGUAGUUGGUGAGGUAACGGCUCACCAAGCCUACGACGGGUAGCCGGCCUGAGAGGGUGACCGGCCACACUGGGACUGAGACACGGCCCAGACUCCUACGGGAGGCAGCAGUGGGGAAUAUUGCACAAUGGGCGCAAGCCUGAUGCAGCAACGCCGCGUGAGGGACGACGGCCUUCGGGUUGUAAACCUCUUUUAGCAGGGAAGAAGCGAAAGUGACGGUACCUGCAGAAAAAGCACCGGCUAACUACGUGCCAGCAGCCGCGGUAAAAC
rnacentral:rRNA from 1 species